AUUGAACGCUGGCGGCAUGCCUUACACAUGCAAGUCGAACGGUAACAGGUCUUCGGAUGCUGACGAGUGGCGAACGGGUGAGUAAUACAUCGGAACGUGCCCGAUCGUGGGGGGUAACGGAGCGAAAGCUUUGCUAAUACCGCAUACGAUCUACGGAUGAAAGCAGGGGCCCGCAAGGCCUUGCGCGGACGGAGCGGCCGAUGGCAGAUUAGGUAGUUGGUGGGAUAAAAGCUUACCAAGCCGACGAUCUGUAGCUGGUCUGAGAGGACGACCAGCCACACUGGGACUGAGACACGGCCCAGACUCCUACGGGAGGCAGCAGUGGGGAAUUUUGGACAAUGGGCGAAAGCCUGAUCCAGCCAUGCCGCGUGCAGGAUGAAGGCCUUCGGGUUGUAGACUGCUUUUGUACGGAACGAAAAGACUCUUUCUAAUAAAGAGGGUCCAUGACGGUACCGUAAGAAUAAGCACCGGCUAACUACGUG
rnacentral:rRNA from 1 species